UCCCGCUCUCUCUGCCCAGUGAUCUACGGACAGGGGUCACGGGUCACGCAGAUGCUGCACACGACCCACGCCACAACUCCCACGCGCUGGCGGGGACCUGCGGAAUCGGGAAGAGAUGAGCGCCGGGUGAUGGUCCCUCGUUGUUGUUCUGGUGGAGAGGGGCCGCGACAGCUGCGGUGCGCGACACCCGCGGGCCAGGGACUCCUGCUGAAGCUCACGCCGUCUUCCCCUCGUGGUCAUCUCUGUGCGCCAUGCCCCCCGUGCCUGCCUGCCUCCCAGCGAGUCCGUUUGUUCCGGUGGCAUCUACAGGAACCAUUCCCAUUUAACUUGGACGCCGAACCCAGACUCAAGGUACUCGCAGCAUUCAGUCAGAAACACCACACGGCGCCCACGAAAGCGCUCGCCCCAGCAAAGCCGACGAACGGUCAAACUUGAAGAGAGACCAACGCCGUCUUCAGAACGGGUGCCCUCUGCCCAGCAGAAAUUGACCAUAGCUAAAAGCGUCUCUUCCAGGAGACACACAGAGGCAAAGUUAGACAGACGCAGAGACAGACAGGCGGAAAGACAGAUAGAUGACCUUCCAUGAGCAAGGAAAAAGCCCACCGAGAUCAAAAUCUCUUCUUCACGAGAGACCAUGUCUGGCUUGAGCACGGCAUGCCCGCACGUUCGUUCGUCCGCCCGCUUACCCGUGCACUCCGCACUUUAUGGGUCCGAGCGAUAGAAAAUGCACGAGGGAGCGUGGUGCCUCUUCCCAGCCUGACCCCCUGGCAGUUGCCUCCGCAAAAUAAAGUCGCACCUGCCGUGCUCAGUUACUGUACGAUAAACUUCUGGGCACACCGUUGCCUCCUCGCUUGCUCCCUCCAUCGCUCGCUCGCUCCAUUCCAGCUCGCAGGGUUCGGGACGCACCUUUUGUGUUCCACCUCUCCUGCUGAUGCGCACCCCGUUAGCGGCUCGGUGCAGCCGCCAGUCAGUUACGUUCAAUCGCCGAACGUGGGUUUGGGGGCCAUAGCCGGUAACAACCAUCUGGCCGCUGCGUAGAGCUGCCCAAUGUGUUUAUCCCCGGCAACUGUCCACGCGGACCCCCCCCUCCCACUGCCCGCCUGCCGACUACCAAGCCGUAAAAAAACAAAAAAACGCACCGGCCGUCAACUUUCAUAAGAAUGUUUUUUCAUCCCAGCAAAAAGUUUCGAGAAAAAAUAAAAACUGAAGUAAACAAACAAGCACAAAAAAAGCCUAAAUUUUUUUUUCAUUCCCGCAAAAAAGUUUGUUGUUGUUUUGGUUUAACGGAUGACAGAUGCAGCAGAUGUACGCCCGUCUCCAUCAAUGACAGCUCGUCUUUGCGUUUGGUGACUUUUAGCGAGAGCACGGUUAUUUUUAGCGAACUCGGUGACGAGUCGCGGCCAAGUUUUAGCGGUAACGAGCGCCGCUCGCGUGUCGCCUCCAUCUGCUGGCCCCGCGGUGACGGGCAGUGGGCAGGUGCCAGGGGUCGGAGGUUGACUGUCGCCGCGGGAACGGGGCAGGGAGCGGAGUCAGGUGACAGCUGUAAGUGACAGCGCUAUAAUCCCUCCGGUGCGAGCCGACGUGAAGACGAUCGCUCGCACGGGAAAACACUCGCACGCGUGCACACACACACACACGUGCGCACGCGUGCACACACACACGUGCGCACGUGUA